ACACCUCAACUCUCGUGGUCCGCCAUGAUGAGCUUGGACUUUGGGGGUCUUGCCGGCGCCUAGCGUCGGCUCCUCUCAAAUGGAUCAGCUUGCCAGUGUUUGGUGGCGUCACAGGUGUGAUAACUAUCUACACUUGUGGUUUUCCACCAUGUAACCUUCAGUGAUGGAGGUUCGCUGGAGCUCACAGACGUCUCUCCUUGGGGAGGACAGCUUCUUGAAC
rnacentral:misc_RNA from 1 species